GGUUUCCGUGAACCUGCGGAAGGAUCAUUA
rnacentral:rRNA from 1 species